rnacentral:rRNA from 1 species
UACGUAGGGUGCAAGCGUUAAUCGGAAUUACUGGGCGUAAAGCGUGCGCAGGCGGUGAUGUAAGACAGUUGUGAAAUCCCGGGGCUCAACCUGGGAACUGCAUCUGUGACUGCAUCGCUGGAGUGCGGCAGAGGGGGAUGGAAUUCCGCGUGUAGCAGUGAAAUGCGUAGAUAUGCGGAGGAACACCGAUGGCGAAGGCAAUCCCCUGGGCCUGCACUGACGCUCAUGCACGAAAGCGUGGGGAGCAAACAGG